UAAUACGGAGGGUGCAAGCGUUAAUCGGAAUUACUGGGCGUAAAGCGUGCGCAGGCGGUCUGUUAAGUCUGCUGUGAAAUCCCCGAGCUCAACUUGGGAAUUGCAGUGGAUACUGGCAGGCUGGAGUACGGUAGAGGAAGGUGGAAUUCCCGGUGUAGCAGUGAAAUGCGUAGAGAUCGGGAGGAACACCAGUGGCGAAGGCGGCCUUCUGGACCAGUACUGACGCUCAUGCACGAAAGCGUGGGGAGCAAACAGG
rnacentral:rRNA from 1 species